rnacentral:rRNA from 1 species
UGGCGGACGGGUGAGUAAUGUCUGGGAAACUGCCUGAUGGAGGGGGAUAACUACUGGAAACGGUAGCUAAUACCGCAUAACGUCGCAAGACCAAGAGGGGGACCUUCGGGCCUCUUGCCAUCGGAUGUGCCCAGAUGGGAUUAGCUAGUAGGUGGGGUAACGGCUCACCUAGGCGACGAUCCCUAGCUGGUCUGAGAGGAUGACCAGCCACACUGGAACUGAGACACGGUCCAG